GUUUGAUCCGUGGCUCAGGAUGAACGCUGGCGGCGUGCCUAAUACAUGCAAGUCGAACGCUUCACUUCGGUGAAGAGUGGCGAACGGGUGAGUAAUACAUAAGUAACCUGGCAUCUACAGGGGGAUAACUGAUGGAAACGUCAGCUAAGACCGCAUAGGUGUAGAGAUCGCAUGAACUCUAUAUGAAAAGUGCUACGGGACUGGUAGAUGAUGGACUUAUGGCGCAUUAGCUGGUUGGUAGGGUAACGGCCUACCAAGGCGACGAUGCGUAGCCGACCUGAGAGGGUGACCGGCCACACUGGGACUGAGACACGGCCCAGACUCCUACGGGAGGCAGCAGUAGGGAAUUUUCGGCAAUGGGGGAAACCCUGACCGAGCAACGCCGCGUGAAGGAAGAAGUAAUUCGUUAUGUAAACUUCUGUCAUAGAGGAAGAACGGUGGAUAUAGGGAAUGAUAUCCAAGUGACGGUACUCUAUAAGAAAGCCACGGCUAACUACGUG
rnacentral:rRNA from 1 species